rnacentral:lncRNA from 1 species
UAACAACCACCCGGCACACACGCACCUCACCGGCCCGGCGCCUGGCGCUGCGGGCUGGUCUAAAUGGCGGCGGCCUCCAUCCGGGGCCGCUCCCGCCCCGGCCGCGCCCCCCGCCGCCCCGCCCUCCCCCGCCGCAGCGGACGUGGCUCCGCCGGGGAGGAGGCCAGGGCGGUCACGUGAGCGCAACACGCCCCUCCCCCUCCGCGCGCAUGCGCCGCCACUUCCCUUCCCAGGUCGGGGGAGGGAGCCGCCUACUUCGCCAGGCGGGGCGCGUGCGUGCACGGCGGCUUCCCGCCUUCCUUCUUCCCGCCGCGGGGGCGGGCGCCCUGCCUGAGAAGGAUGAUCUGUGUCCUAGUGAGUGUAACAGUGGAGGAAAACUAACUGUGUGAACAGAUGGAGAACCAAAAUUUAGCACACCUUCCUUAGAGUUAACUGAAGGGUAACUGGUGUGUUGAUCAAGAUCAGCUAUAACAAAUGGCAAAGAGAAUUACGAGGAAGAUCCUGAGCACGUAAGCUACUGAUAGAUGCACCAGGAGUGUUAUCAAACAUUAUGAAACAAUGAUACAAGGAUCAUCAGCUGGAGGAGAUGCUGACUUUUCAGAGGCUGAGAUCUUUCAGAGUCACUGGGACUGCUGGCAGAACCUGUUCCUGUCACCACCUCACCCAGCUUACUCUGAUCGUGGGCAAGGAAGGGGGACUCACAGCUUGGAAGAAGGUAGAAGAACUCAGCUGCUAGGGAAGUACUUCACUCUUCAUUAUACUGGCCGAGUAAAAGGGGAAUGUAUCAGCAGCACCUUACUUCUAAAGCUACACGUAAGUGAACUGAAUGCUGACCUUAUAUUUCUUCUCUGUAUGAUCACUGCUCAGGACAUAGAUGCUGUUUUCUAUUUGCAGAUAGCUUUUUAUGUGAAUCAUCUGACUUGUUGACUGAAUCAAGGAACUUGUAACAGUUCCUUGACCACAUGCUUUCUCUUUCCCCCUCCUAUGUCUCUCCAUGCUCUG